CAUGCAUAAGUGCGCCGCGUUUAUCUUAUCUAGAAUGCAAGCGACCGCUCUCUCGGCUGCGCGAUGCGACAUCGCGGCGUGUAGUAUUCGCGUGCACUGGCGCGAUAGUGUCGGUGUGCGCGAACGCCUCAGCGGAGCAGCGUACGUGCAAAUUGCACGAGGUCGUUCGGUCAGAUGCGGCGGAAUGUUUGAUUGAAACGUAGUUUCGCGGCAUACACGCGGCACACGCGCAUACACACAAGAAUACAUUGUUAAACGCGAACGCGCUCGCGUGAAUUGCCGACGCGAUAGAUAGAGAACGAUCGCGCGCAGAGUGCAAGGCCGACGAUACGAGUGUACGACUUUCUUUUCUCUUAGCAAAUCCACGAAAUUCGAAUGAUGAUCCAGCACGGAGCGUGUUGCUAUCUCCCGAUACCACCGAACACCGUGGGUGCUCCGACAUACGAAGGACAGGUGCCCUACAUCGGGAUAGGAACAUCACAAAAUCCAUUCCAUCUCUGGCCGAUCACGUGGCCCCUCAACCCUCUGACAGCAGCAGCGGCAAUAAGUACGCCUCCGUACCCUGACAGUCCUCCCGAAUCAUCUGCCACGUAUCACUGAUCGACUGCUGAUGAUCGGUGAAGUGAGUCGACGAGGGCAACGUGUCGAAUCCAAAGAAAGUCACGUUCCGAAGCGACAGAACGAC